UACGUAGGUGACAAGCGUUGUCCGGAUUUACUGGGCGUAAAGAGCGCGCAGGCGGUCGAUCAAGUCGAGUGUGAAAGCCCCCGGCUCAACUGGGGAGGGUCAUUCGAUACUGAUCGACUCGAAGGCAGGAGAGGGUAGUGGAAUUCCCGGUGUAGAGGUGAAAUUCGUAGAUAUCGGGAGGAACACCUGUGGCGAAGGCGGCCAUCUGGACGGUAACUGACGCUGAGACGCGAAAGCGUGGGUAGCAAACAGG
rnacentral:rRNA from 1 species